UACUUGAUAAUGUUAAUAAAUAUUUUUAGGAGUUUUUAGAAUAUUGAAAAUAUCAUUUUCAUAUAAGCAUUAUUUUUAAAUAAUCGCAGUCAACUUCUAAAUUGCGUAUAAAAUUCAAACCCGAUCUAUAAAUCUCGAAAGUUUUAUUUCAUUAGUUUUAUAAUAUUCGGAGAUUUAUAAAAUUAGUUUAGUGAUUUUUCGAGAAAGUUUUAUUGCGAGAUAUUUCGAGAGUCGGUCUAAUUUCGGGUAUUAUAUCGAGGCUAGUCAGUGUGUUGAGAUACGUGGAAUACCUAUGCAGAGCCACGUAUCCCUACUCUACCCACCGCCUUAUUCUUUAUUUCUUCCCCUGUUUUUCUUUUCUUUUCUUCACUCCAUCAGCACCUGUCUUUCUCAAUCUCUCGGCCUCACCCCUCUCUCUCGCCUUAAUCCCUAACUUCUCUUUCCCUCUUUCAUUUUUUUUUUCUUCUUCUUUUCUUCAACCAUCCAAGUCACGUCUCUACUCUUUUUCCUUCCCCAUCGAGAUAUACUCCCAAGUACUGGUCAUUGAUUUUCCCGGCCAAUCCACAUCGCCGCCUGUUUCUUCUUUUUCCGGCGACAUCCUAGGCCUCCACUAGUUGUAAGUCAGGGGGCUCCAAUCAGAAGUCUUAGCAACCUAGAGCCUUCGUAUCACUAGUUACAUUUUGUCAAGAUGUCAAGGAAAAAUAGCAGCUGCGUGUAAGAGUUCCUAGGCACCGUCUUUUGAGUUGGGAACUUCUAGAGAGAAUGCGAGGAGCUUUGGACCCGAGUUUGUUUGGUUAUCUUUUGAGUCUGUAUUGUAGAUGUACCCGUAAGGCUGUAGUGGAAUCUCUUAUAGAGAUGAACCAAUAUCGUUGUCUUGGUUGUAAUAGAUGUUAAACCUUUUUCUGACUUAAACCUGGCAAGAUCUUUGGUCAGGGGUGGAAUUUGUAAAUUAUUAUUAAGUUUCUCUUUUCAGCAUUCA